rnacentral:rRNA from 1 species
GGGUUGUGAGGUUAAGCGACUAAGCGUACACGGUGGAUGCCCUGGCAGUCAGAGGCGAUGAAGGGCGUGCUAAUCUGCGAUAAGCGCCGGUAAGGUGAUAUGAACCGUUAUAACCGGCGAUACCCGAAUGGGGAAACCCAGUGUGACUCGUCACACUAUCAUUAACUGAAUCCAUAGGUUAAUGAGGCGAACCGGGGGAACUGAAACAUCUAAGUACCCCGAGGAAAAGAAAUCAACCGAGAUUCCCCCAGUAGCGGCGAGCGAACGGGGAGGAGCCCAGAGCCUGAAUCAGCAUGUGUGUUAGUGGAAGCGUCUGGAAAGGCGCGCGAUACAGGGUGACAGCCCCGUACACAAAAGCGCAUGUGCUGUGAGCUCGAUGAGUAGGGCGGGACACGUGGUAUCCUGUCUGAAUAUGGGGGGACCAUCCUCCAAGGCUAAAUACUCCUGACUGACCGAUAGUGAACCAGUACCG